rnacentral:tRNA from 1 species
AUAUCUCUGUUGGUAGAGCAAUAAAUUAAAAAAAUUUUCGAGGGUUCAAUUCCCUCUGUCACCA